AGCCCACGGACUGGCUUAAACAGCUCACCGAUUACACAAAUAUUAGUUUUCACUGUACAAAACAUUAUUUUGGAGGGAAAGAAAGAGUAAAGAAAUAGAAAAUGGAGUUGCUGAAGCUGUCAAAAUUCAAACUUCAGCUCCAAGCUUUCACCUCCGAACUUCGAGAUCUAAGAAAAAGAGAAAACUCCACUAAGGAGCAAUGCCAUAUUCUAAUUCAGAAACAGAAACAAACCGAGGAGGAAUUCGGCAGGAAAUUCCAGGAAUUGCAGUCGGAGUUGGGUUCCUCAGGUGAAUUGUGCCAAAAGCUUGAACGGAAGGUGGAUUACCUUCAAAACGACAAUGUUUUUCUCGAGAACAGGCAGAAGGAGUUGCAAGGAACAAUACAAAAUCUGCUUCAAUCGAGAGAAAGUUUCGUCAAUGCUUAUGAGGAGUCAACUUGGGAAAUGAAACGUGCAAUUGAAGCUAGAGAUAGAAGACUGAGUUCCCUAAAUGAAAAACUGCAUGCUCAUUUAUCAUUGUUCGAUUCUAUAGAAAAGGAAGCUUUUUCAUUUAAGCAAGUUAUGGACAAUAUACAACUUGUUGUGAGUCAGAAAGAGGAUGUAGUGGCUGGUUUAAGAAGCAAAAUGGAUAAGGUUGCUACUUUUGAAAAGGUAUUUGCAGAAAAGGUCCAUGACCUGCAAAACAAACAGAGAAGAGAUGAGGAUGAGAUCAGGAAAAAGGCUGAAAUCAUCUCAAUGCUAGAAAAACAACUGCAAUCAGAAAAAUUUACAAAUAACUCCCAAAUUCAAAUAGAAGAGCUUCAGAAAAUUCUAUCAGCAAAGGAUGCAGCGAUACAAAAUCUAAUUUUUGAGAGAGAGGCUUUACAUCAUGAAGUGGAGAAUUUGACAAAAAUAUUGCAGAAGGUUAUGGAGACAGUUACAAGUAUGGGUGAAGAGGACAAAAGGAUAUUCAACUGUGCACUGAAAUGUCAAGAAGACUGUAAUAUGAUUGCGACAAACGAAGAGAAUUGGAUUGAAGCUGCUGUUCAACACAGUGGCGAACCAACUCUAAAUAAAGCUUUCACAGAUGGUGCUGCAGACGAUCAAGCUUCACUUUUGUGUCAGGAGCAGAACUCAGUUGGCACACCCCUGCUAGAAACCAAUCAUUUAGGCUCAUGCUUGUCAGAGACACAGUCACCAUGCUCUGAACUCCAAUCUGCAGUUAACGGUCGAAGCGUUUCUGUAAAUAAUGGGCAGGUUAACAGCAAUGCAAAUGUAUACCACUUGGAUUCUGAGUGCUCAACCACUCAAGUAGAAGCCUCGGAAAUUCCAGAAUUUGAAUACCAGAAGUGAAAACUUGGACGGGGCCUGGUGUAUGAAGCCCAUUUAAGGUUAUAGAUUUGGGCUAGGCUCUCUCAACUCAACAGGUGUAAGUUAGGCCAAAUUGAGAAGCUGGAAAGUCAAGCAGAAGAAAACAAAGCUAAUUAGGUAAAUGUGCAGGCUCCAUACAAUUAAACCAAAUGUCAAUUUGUCAUAUAAAUGAAAUGUGUACCCAAAAAAACAAACUUUAAAUCCUUCUUCAUUUGGACUUGCUUUCAACAAACAAUGUUUUGCUCAGUACAUUCUAAAUUGAUAUUUUGAACAA